rnacentral:rRNA from 1 species
AUUGAACGCUGGCGGCAGGCCUAACACAUGCAAGUCGAGCGGGGUUUUCGGACCUAGCGGCGGACGGGUGAGUAAUGCGUAGGAAGCUGCCCGAUAGAGGGGGAUACCAGUUGGAAACGACUGUUAAUACCGCAUAAUGUCUACGGACCAAAGUGUGGGACCUUCGGGCCACAUGCUAUCGGAUGCGCCUACGUGGGAUUAGCUAGUUGGUGAGGUAAUGGCUCACCAAGGCGACGGUCUCUAGCUGGUUUGAGAGGAUGAUCAGCCACACUGGAACUGAGACACGGUCCAGACUCCUACGGGAGGCAGCAGUGGGGAAUAUUGGACAAUGGGCGCAAGCCUGAUCCAGCCAUGCCGCGUGUGUGAAGAAGGCCUUCGGGUUGUAGAGCACUUUCAGCGAGGAGGAAGGGUGGUGUGUUAAUAGCACAUCAUUUUGACGUUACUCGCAGAAGAAGCACCGGCUAACUCUGUGCCAGCCGCCGCGGUAACAC